rnacentral:sRNA from 1 species
UUUUUAGUUAUGGAGACAGAAGGCCUCUGAUUACUUGCAGAGCUGGGAAGCGGCAGUACAGGCAGCCCCACCAAUGUUGUCUCAACCCUUUUCUGGAGAGACCCCCUCUACUGAUGAGAGGGUAGUUCAGUUUUCUUACCCAUUUCAUCCUUGAUCCCU